GAUGAACGCUGGCGGCGUGCCUAAUACAUGCAAGUCGAGCGAACGGACGAGAAGCUUGCUUCUCUGAUGUUAGCGGCGGACGGGUGAGUAACACGUGGAUAACCUACCUAUAAGACUGGGAUAACUUCGGGAAACCGUAGCUAAUACCGGAUAAUAUUUUGAACCGCAUGGUUCAAAAGUGAAAGACGGUCUUGCUGUCACUUAUAGAUGGAUCCGCGCUGCAUUAGCUAGUUGGUAAGGUAACGGCUUACCAAGGCAACGAUGCAUAGCCGACCUGAGAGGGUGAUCGGCCACACUGGAACUGAGACACGGUCCAGACUCCUACGGGAGGCAGCAGUAGGGAAUCUUCCGCAAUGGGCGAAAGCCUGACGGAGCAACGCCGCGUGAGUGAUGAAGGUCUUCGGAUCGUAAAAUUCUGUUAUUAGGGAAGAACAUAUGUGUAAGUAACUGUGCACAUCUUGACGGUACCUAAUCAGAAAGCCACGGCUAACUACGUG
rnacentral:rRNA from 1 species